ACGGCACAAGCUCCAAGUUCGAUCCGCCCUUGAGCUUACCGGGUGUGAUAAGAAUGAGUCAAUUCCACAAUCCCGUAUUUUCAGCAACUGUAAAUUAGUGGAUAUUAUUCUCCUUACGAUCAGGCAAAUUGUUGUACAUAGAGUUGUAUAUAUUCAUAACUCAUAAGUGAAUAAAGGCAUCCAACCAAUUAUUCUAUCUCUCACGCCAGCCACGGUGAGCCAUCCAUACCCUCCAGUUCGUCUCAUCUUCUUUCUUCUGUGUAGAUUACAAUUAUUUUGACGAUAUCAUGAAUCCAACCCAGGCUCUUUGAGUCCUCGAUGAUGGUCGGCCUUCCAUCUCCUUCGGCGACCCAGUGACGACGAGGAGAGGCCACCUGCACUCUUAAUCUUCAGGCGCAUUGGUUCUUCCUUCCCCUAUCGGUGAUUGCGGAUCAGGUAAACACUCGUUGAUCUCUCCUCUCUCGCUCCUUUCUUUCGAUUUACUGUCUCGGAUUGGUUUGAUUUCUCAUCUCACAUCCUUGCAGUUUAAGGGUCGGGGAACCGAGGGGGUUAUGGCAAGGUCAAGGAUGGUAAGCUCGCUUUCUAUCUAACCUGAUUAUGUAUGUCUUGAGCUCAGACUAUUCAGAUUCAUUCUAUUUUACUAUUUUGUUUAUAUGCAGGCUUCGAUCUAGGGCUCUAGAGAUUAGUGACGAGAUGGAGAUUCUGUCGAACAAUGGGCUAGAUGAAUAGGUACGAUCCUAAUUCAUUAAUCACAAAAAACCUGGUAUCACUGUUUUGUACAGGAAUAGGGACAGGUUUCGUGUCAGUCAUGACUGUUUUUGCGGGUUUCAAUGGUUAAGUUUGGUAGUGAUUUAGGUGCGAUGUUUGUGAGCAAGGAUGGCUGAAUCUGCAGUAGUUUCUGGCUUUUCUUUUUGUGGCUUAGCUAGGUGAUAAUGGUUACCUUCAUGGCAAUUUUGUCUGAUAUUUGGUAGUGAUCUUGGCUGAAUUUUGGGUUGAUUUGGGUGUGGUUUUGUGUAGCAAAGCUACGGUUUGGGUGUGGACCUAGCAUCUAAAACCAGGAUCAUGCCAUCAUUUAGUUCGAGGUAUACCCUAUCACUUGUUCCCUAUGAAGCCUUUGCUUGGAAUUCAAAUAAACGGCUGAAAUUUUCUUUUAUAAUAGUUCCAACUUAGCUCGAAUUAUCCUUGGGUCCAUUCUUCCUUCAUUCUUCCCAUCUAAGCAUGUCAUGUUUGUCAUGUUAUAAGUCAUUUAGCACACUAAAGUCCAUUAAAGCAAUCAAACCGUUGUUCAAAGGGGUUAAGGUUAGUGGUGCUUUUAACAACCACUAUUCUAUCCUAAGUCCGAUAUUCAAGCUCUAAUCAAAGUAUGUUUAGCAUGAUGAUAAUGAUAUUGUGUAGUAAUGCUUAGUAAAAUAGGUUCUUUUAAUGUUUUCUUAGUUUAUAUACCUUUCAUCGUUGGAAAUGUGGAUUAGUGUUUGGGAUGAUAACUAACGUUACGAUCUUCAUCUCCUUGCGAGGUUGGCUCUGAUAGUGGUUACUCAAAGGAUUCGACAAUGAAGAUGGUGUUGCUAUUGGCGAGUUAGUGAUGUUGAGUGACCGAUAGUAGUGAGAACGAGUGUGGUUUUAGGUGAGGGUGGAGGGUAACGAUGACUUGAGUGUGAUUUGAGGACGAGAUAACUAUAAUUUUUGUAACUAAUAACCGCCUCUCUCUAUUUUUGGUGUUUUUGUUCCGAUUAUUUUGCUUUUUGUUGGGAUUUUUGUAAGGUUUAUGUAGGAAUUUUCAAAAUAUACUCUUAAUCACUCUAAUUUUCCCUAAACUCUUAUGCUUAACACUUCUAUUUUCAACUAUAAGAGCUUCAUAACAUUGAUCACAC
rnacentral:lncRNA from 1 species